rnacentral:lncRNA from 1 species
GCGAGGGCUCUGCGGGGCGGCUCGGCGCGCGCGCUCCGGCGGGGAGCAGGCGACAACUAAUGGAGACAUUUCCAGGCGGAGCACCUGGCGAGCGGAGCGCGCCGGCGUCCCCAGGCGCCGCGGUCGUCAGCCGAGCCCGCACCGGCGUGACGUGGGCGAGCGAGCGCGCUGCUCCCACCCGGCCGCCCAUCAGCGCUUUGUCCCGCGGGCGCCGCGCACCUGCCAACUUUCCCCUCCGUGAGGCGCGGGGGUGCUGGCUGGGCGCCGGGGGCGCCGGGGUGCGGGCAGGGGCGUGGGGAGAGGCUGGUUGGCCCUGGACGCUGGGCUCAGAAGAGGACCCCCCGAGGCGUCACAGUUCCAGCUUCUCCCCCUGGUGUCCAUGUCGGUCCACGACCCGCACUCUGGAAGUCCAGGAGCUUUGGUGUGGGCACCAGGACGUGGGCAAGUAGGGGUGAGUGAACCAAAGCGAUAGACUUGUGGGAGGACUGACGAGUCGGAGACCUGCCCAGGACGGGUGCAGCAGUCACCACGACGUCCAGAGCUGGGCUGGGCUGGGCUGACCUCUGGCCUGCAGACUCACAGCCUGAGGCCAGGAGCCCAGGGCAGGGCAGGUGGGCCCAGGGGGGUCAACAGGGAACCCCUGAAGGCUGGGCACCGGGCUGUUUCCCUCCAGAGCUCGGGGCAGCCCAGAGCGGGAAGCAGGGGGAGGGUCAGAGCCGCAGGGGCCGCUGGUAAUGGGGCCUCGGAGCCGCGUCGAGGGCCGCUUCCUGGGCCGGGCUGGCAGGACAGGCCAGGGGCAGUCUCCGGGGUUGCACUGCCUGUCUCCCUGCCACCGCCAUGCUUUGACUUCAAGAACCACUGCGUCCUUUCUCAGGUUGGCUUCCCCCUUUCUGUCUCUGCAGCCGCCGGACAGGUGACACAGAGCUGCAAGAUGAACCCCCCCCCCCAGGAGCUUUCAAACAGCCUGGGGGGGGGGGGAAUUAAAGCAGAAGUUUAUUUUGCUGCAAAUUUUUUAAACCCAUGAAUAUAUUUUUCUUAAAACACGUUUUCCAUGAUUUUUUAAAAAACUUAUUUGUUUUCAUUUUGCCUGAAAAUGCAGGCAGACACAGACACACGUGAUUCGCACCCACUGGUUCACUCCCCCAGUGCCCACCGUGGCCAGGGCUGUGUCUCCCACACGGGUGCUGGGACCCAAGUACUUGGCCCACUGUCCGCUGCCUCCCAGGGCGCUGGGCUCGCUGUCACAUGGCAUGUGGGCCUCCUGGCCCCACCCCCACCCCCCACGAUUGUUGUUUAAAGUUUUGUUUUACUUAUUUAGAAGCCAGGGGCAGGGUCGGGGCAGGGGAGAGAGAGAUCGUCUGCUGAUUCACUCACCAAACAGCUGCAGCCGCCAGGACCGGGUUGGGCUGAAGCCAGGAGCCUGGAACCCCAUUCAGGUCUCCCGCGUGG